CGCCGCCAGCAGCCGGAGCCGGACUCACUGACAAGCCGCAGAGAGAGACACACAGAGAGGGAGAUGAUUAUUAGUUGCGUUGAGUCAUCAGGCAAAAUCUCGGAGAACCCCGCACCCAGGCACCGCCCACCAAGUUCCGAAGGAGCGGGAGAAGACUCCGGAGGCGAUCGGAUCCCAGCCGAGAGAGAAAGCCAGCUGGACAGUAAACCUUCAAGGAGCCACCCUAAGAGUUUUAGGCAGCGUUUUCUUUUCCCUACUUUUUAUUUCCCAAACCCCAUCCUCCCCACCUCCCAAACGAACGGGUUACAGAAAAUGCACAAUUCAAGUCUGUGAGAAAAAAGUGGCUCGAGUAAAUCAACUCGUGGUGGUAGCUAAAAGGGUUUUUUGGCUGCAAAGAAACAAACUGUAAGUUUGAUCGACAAACUUUUUUCUUUAUAAGUAAUAUCACGUUGGAAUGGGAAGGGGAUGUUGCAAAAACCAAGUGCCAUGUCAAAGUUUGAGCCCGUUUUCAAAAUGGGGAAAGGCGCAUUUCUUAUUAAUAUAUCUCAACAACGAUAACAAUGCUGUUUGUUUCCUUACCUCGGUAUCGAACUGCAGAAUCCUCCUCCGAAUCAAUGUCCAGAAACUUAGAAGAAUUGGUGAUAUUAGGACUUCAGUACUUCUGGAAAAAAAAAUGCAAAUGGUUUAGCCAGGAUCUUUCCUGUCUGAUUCGUCACUAUUAUUAUAUCUGAUGAUGCGAAUGGUUGGAGCGAUUCAAUCUUAAGUCAUUAAUGAGCUAUUUUAUAAACAUCGUUGUUUGAAGAUCAUUUACAUUUUGCAAAGGAUCACUUCGCUAACCUCACAGGCUUAUGUCAACAGCAUGAUUAUGGAACUUAAGUCACACUCUUAUAAACAACAUAGCCGUAUUGUUAAUCGGUUAAUAUUUUAUAAAGUGUAAAUAUUUUAUUAUGUUUCGAAGGGAACUAUUGAUUCUAAAUUAUUAAACCUCUGAGAGAGGCGAUUUAAAUAAAGUAUACAAUUAAGUACAAUUAAAUGUACAUUGUGGCUAGUAUGUUUUCAGAUUCUGCACCCAUUUAAAUUUAGGGAUUUUCUCUUAUCACAGUUUCCUCUUGUCCGUUUUUGACAGUGAAAAAAAAUCUAUCAUUUUGGGCAAAAGAGCUCAAAAUAUUUAAAAUUGCAUUUAGCACAGAGAGAAAUGUGGAACAUUAUGAAUUAUUGUCAGAAGUGUAUUUCGAAUAUUUGUAGAUUUAUGUUUAGUAACACAUUUUACAAAUUUAUUUCGAUUUAAAAAAGAACUCUAAGAAGUUUUGUGAUGUAUACCUAGUGUGUUUUUUUCUCUUGAAUUUUGUCCCUAAUAAAGGCCUUUUCUGUUUCCAACUGCA